CUUGCUGGUUGAUCCGUCCCUAUAUCUUCUUUUCCCUCGCUCACAAGUCACAAACCCCGCCCUUUUCUUCUUCAUUUGCCUCCUCAGUGUUCGUCGAAACCAAUCCAAACCCUACAGAACGCGUUGAAUGUUGAUCCAACCCCUCACUCACAGUCUCUUCUCGAGCCUUAUUCAUCCACUCACAUUCGCGCAUUGAGUUGAAUCACAGCGGCCCUUUGAGUGUUCGUUUGUUGCUACGAUUGGAGUGACCAACGAAACCAAACCCGAGAUCGAUCAUUAUAAGGCACUCUGUUCUGGGUUCGAAAUUCUAGGAGGGGAGUGCGUCUCAAACCUCGUUUGCGAACUCCCUAUAUGCAUCAUCCGACAUGAAGGACUGAAGAAAGGAAAUCACACAUGCAAACUUGAAGCUCUCGACAAGAAGAACAACAAUGAAGAGUAUAUCAGAGAGGGAGAAGAAGAACAAUCAGCAAGUAGCUAAUCUGUGAUUCUGUAUGGUUUUCAAGUUCAUUUAAGGUUGUUGGAAUUUUCAGGAUGGUAAUUUUUCCACUUCUUUGUCAGCUGCUGCCAAGUAUGGAUGAAAACCUCUACCUCAACAAGUAACUCAGAUCAAGUAUUUUCAGAACUCGGCACCAAAAGAACCUUGUUUUUAUCCCCUUUGCCAACUUGAUUAUUAUUGAUUCAUUCCUUGGUCAACUUUUGGCUUCCGGCUUGAUUGAUCAAAAUAAUGCGAAGGAAACCUAAUUCAUGCAAAGUAAUUUGAAGUACGACAGGUAGGUGCCUAUCUAAUGUUGCUUUAUUCUAUAGUUGCCAAUAGGCAGGCAUCACAAGUUUCCUAAUGUAUUAGGUGCAUACCUUAUGUUGCUUUACUCGGCAGUUGCCAAUGGACAUCACAAGUUUCCUAAUGGUAAGUUUACAUGGAGUGAAUCUUAUUUUCUUCAUGUUCAUAUUUUGAGUUCCUGUGUGCAUUCUUCAAUGUUUUCGAUCUCCUAGUAUUAUGGGGUGGUUUCUAUUCCUUUCUAUUCCUAGUAUUAGGUGCAUAUCUUAUGUUGCUUUACCCUACAGUUGCCAAUGGGCAGACAUCACACGUUUCCUAAUGGUAAGUUUACAUGAAGUGAAUCUUAUUUUCUUCUUGUUUAUAUGGAGCUCCUGUGUACUGUUUUAAAUGUCUUCAAUUUCCUAAUAUUAUGGGGUGAUUUCUACUCCUUUCUCAAACAGAGCCCAGGAGUUUGAUGGCAAAACAUACAUUUCUCUCUAAAUUUUGUCCCCCUCUAAAACUUAUUUUCCUUUAAAGGUUUUGUACAUAUUGCUUUAUGGCAACACCCAUAACAUAUAUUCAACUGUUCUACUUUUUGUAUUUAGAGAAUUUGUCAUUUUUUUUUUUGCAGAAUAUAUUUGUUAUUCACUCACUGGAAUCUGAAAUAUUAUGAUAUGAAUAAAUUUCUUUAAAGUUGAAAAAGUGAUAUUACUCAGAUCAAGGGGGCCAAAACCUUGUUUUGAUCCCCUUGCAGGCUUGGUUGACUCUCAAACUCAGGCAUGCAUGAACAUUUUACAUAAUUUAUGUUUAGAAAUAUUAUGUUUAGCAUGGGGAAUACUAGUAGCACCUAGUUUUACUUUCCAAUAAACUUUCAUGUUUUUUUUUUUGUAACUACACUACCUAUACAAAUCACAACUAAUCUCAUAGGUUUGCUGGGC